rnacentral:misc_RNA from 1 species
GUGAAUCAUCAAAUUUUUGAACGCAUAUGGCACUCUUUGGUAUUCCGGAGAGUAUGCCUGUUUGAGGGUAAUUAAAAAGAAUUUUUAACUAAUUUUUUUUGGUCAAAGUAAAUGAGUUCUCCGCGUUUAUAGCAGUAGCCUGAAAUAAAUGGUCAAGUCUCAUUUUAGUCGAGACGCGUAAUAAUAUUUUUUCGCUAAAUCUUCAUUAUGUGAAUAUCAAGUUUUGAUGCAUACAAAUUUGGUUUGUAUUUUAUCAAUGCAAAUAAUUAUAACAUUACUCAAAAUCA